AUUUAGCUUUAGGAGCUGUGAUUAUUUUGUAUCGUCGCUGUUAAUAUGCGAUGGAUAUCCAGAUUAGUGUAGGAUGAGUUUACGCUCGUGCUGGGAUGCCAUGUUUACUUUUACAGUAGAGUGUAGACUGUUUCAAACUGUCGGGUGCCGUCGCGGUUGACGGUGAACCCGGAUUUCUGUUUUGCAUCAGAUUGUGCCAGGGGCACGUGAGAUU
rnacentral:lncRNA from 1 species